rnacentral:rRNA from 1 species
AGGGUCUGAUGGAGCAACGCCGCGUGAGUGAAGAAGGUUUUCGGAUCGUAAAACUCUGUUGUUGGAGAAGAACGUAUUUGAUAGUAACUGAUCAGGUAGUGACGGUAUCCAACCAGAAAGCCACGGCUAACUACGUGCCAGCAGCCGCGGUAAUACGUAGGUGGCAAGCGUUGUCCGGAUUUAUUGGGCGUAAAGCGAGCGCAGGCGGUUUCUUAAGUCUGAUGUGAAAGCCUUCGGCUCAACCGAAGAAGUGCAUCGGAAACUGGGAAACUUGAGUGCAGAAGAGGACAGUGGAACUCCAUGUGUAGCGGUGAAAUGCGUAGAUAUAUGGAAGAACACCAGUGGCGAAGGCGGCUGUCUGGUCUGUAACUGACGCUGAGGCUCGAAAGCAUGGGUAGCAAACAGGAUUAGAUACCCUGGUAGUCCAUGCCGUAAACGAUGAGUGCUAGGUGUUGGAGGGUUUCCGCCCUUCAGUGCCGCAGCUAACGCAUUAAGCACUCCGCCUGGGGAGUACGACCGCAAGGUUGAAACUCAAAGGAAUUGACGGGGCCCCC